UUAGAUACAGUGCACUCUCACGAGUUCCACUUAUUCAAACCCAUUCCGAGUACCUUACCCGUUGCUUCCGCGAGGCAGUGGCUCCGGUCACCUCUGAAGAUGACACCAGUCAUUGGAGGGGAGUCUUCGCGGGAGGUAUACAGUAAACUCUUGCAUUACCAUGUCAUCUGUCUGAUUAUGUUUAAAACAAACAUUA
rnacentral:misc_RNA from 1 species